CGACGCCAGUACCGCCGGCGAUUGAAAGAGCGGACGAAUGAGUAACAAAGGGUAAGGUUAAAUCGCUAGACUUAGAUUCUAGUAACGGCGCAAGUCGUGGGAUUACAUAGGUACAUCGGUAACGAUGUAAUUAGUAGGGCAAAUUGGAUUUAGACGCUAAAUAAUAUGUACGGUAGUAGAAUACCGGCUAUAAAUA
rnacentral:ncRNA from 1 species